rnacentral:rRNA from 1 species
AUGGCGGACGAGGAGAUAACUGAUAUCAUGGUAGACAUGGAGUUUGGAGAACUGAUGAAAGCAUGGAUAGAAGAUUGGUCAGAUGAUGAAAAUUCAGAUCGUGAAGAUCGGUCAGAGAAUGGGAACGAAUGGGAUGAUCUUAAUAUUGAUGAGCUUGGUGAUGAUCAGGAAAACAACUCGGAGCUCUCGAAUGAAGAUUACAUUAGUCAGUUCAUUUCCGAAUGUCAUAAUGUGUACGACUAUUACGGUGAAUCCGACGCGGAGACAUGCCUUAACGGUGAAUCAUUAGAUGCACCUGGUUCUGGGGAGUCCGAGUCGUCGGUCAUCAUGAGUGAGGUGACACAAGAUGAUGGUGCAAAGAAUGUCCAAGAUACUGCCAGUGCAGAUGAUAAGAGGGAUAUGUUCAUGCAGAGAAUGGAAAUGACCUUUACGUCUCACGAUGAUGCGUAUGAUUUCUACAAAAGCUAUGCUAGAGAUAAUGGUUUCAGCAUUAGAAAGAAUAAGGUCAUGUAUAGCAAAACAGAGUCACGUCAUAUGCGUUAUAGGCGGUUUGUUUGUUCAAGACAAGGGAAACGUGACAUCAAGUUGCUAACCGAGGAAGGACACAACCGUAGGCUCAGAGCCGAGACACGCUGCUUUUGCGAAGCGCACCUGACCGUCAAGCUUGACCAAAGCGUGGGGUUUGGGAUUAGAAUUCACGACAUGAUGGAUUGCUUCAUCAGCAAGCAUGUAUGGUACGACGGUGUUGGUUUUACCAGGCGUGAAAUAUACAACCUUUGCGCUAAGGAGAAGAGGAAGCUGCUUUCAAAAGGUGAUGCUGCCACAGCCAUAGGCAUCAUGGCCAGUAGGAAACAGAGGGAUCCUAGCUUCUUUUUCGAGUACAGGCCAGAUAAGGAAGGACAUUUGAAUAGGAUGUUCAGGUGUGACUCCCAGUCUCGUCAUGACUAUGAGGACUUCGGCGACAUGCUUGUAUUUGACAGCACGUACAAGAUGAACCGCUAUGGUAUGCCAUUCAUACCUUUUGUUGGUCUUAACAAUCACCGGAAGACCACUGUUUUUGGUUGUGCCAUAGUUUCGGACGAGACCGAGGAGACAUACGUGUGGCUUUUGCAGACUUUUUUGAGGUCCAUGUGUCAAAAGAUGCCUAAGAGUGUUAUCACAGACGCCGACGCUGCGAUGAACAAGGAAAUUCGCGAAGUCUUGCCAGACGUGUGGCACCGUAUAUGUACGUGGCACAUAGAGAAAAAUAUGAAGAUUCACCUCAGUCACAAGUCCUUGAAGGAGUUCCGAACUCUUCUGUACUACAGCACGUCCACGGCAACGUUUGAGGAGUGA